GACGAACGCUGGCGGCGUGCCUAAUACAUGCAAGUCGAGCGGGGAAGACCGGCUCUUGCACCAAUCUCAAGAGCAGCGAACGGGUGAGUAACGCGUGGGGAAUCUGCCUUUGAGCGGGGGACAACAUUUGGAAACGAAUGCUAAUACCGCAUAACAACUUUAAACAUAAGGUUUAAGGGUAAAAUAUGCAAGUGCAUCACUCAAAGACGAUCCCGCGUUGUAUUAGCUGGUUGGUGAGGUAAAGGCUCACCAAGGCGAUGAUACAUAGCCGGCCGGACAGGGUGGUCGGCCACCUUGGGAGUGAGACAGGCCCCAAAGUCAUACGGGAGGGAGCAGUAGUGAAUCUGAGGCAAUGGGUGGAAGUCUGACCGAACAAGGCCGAGGGAGAGGAGAAGGUUUUCGGAUCGGAAAACUCUGCUGGUGGAGAAGAACGUUGGUGGGAGUGGAAAGAUCAUCAAGUGACGGUAACUACCCAGAAAGCAACGGCUAACUACGUG
rnacentral:rRNA from 1 species